AUGACUCUGAUCUGCGUCCUCAUCUGGACUCUCCUCUGCUGCUGCUUCACAGAGUCCAGAGGUCAGGUCACAGUGACUCAGCCUGGAUCAGUGACUUCUGCUCUGGGAGGCUCCGUCACCAUCAGCUGUAAAACCAGUCAGAAUGUUUCUAAUUACAACCGUUUAGCCUGGUACCAACAGAGAGAUGGAGGAACUCCUAAACUGCUCUUUUAUUAUGUUGGCAGUCGAGUAUCAGGAACACCAAGUCGUUUUACAGAUUCUGGAUCAAACUCUGACUUCACUCUGACCAUCAGUGGAGUUCAGGCUGAAGAUGCAGCAGUUUAUUACUGUGAGAGUCUUCACAACAUUAACGGUGGUGAUGUGUUCACACAGUGA